rnacentral:rRNA from 1 species
GAUGAACGCUGGCGGCGUGCCUAAUACAUGCAAGUCGAGCGAACGGACGAGAAGCUUGCUGCUCGGAUGUUAGCGGAGGACGGGUGAGUAACGCGUGUAUAAUCUACCUAUAAGACUGGGAUAAUUUCGGGAAACCGGAGAUAAUACCGUAUGAUAUUUUGAACCGCGUGGUGCAAAAGUGAAAGACGGUCUUUCUGUCACUUAUAGAUGGAUCCGCGCUGCAUUAGGUGGUGGGUAAGGUAACGGGCUACCACGGGAACGAGGCAUAAGCGACGGCUGAGACGGGUCGCCCGCCCGGGAGCUGAGCCGCGGUCCUGACUCCUGAGGGACGCAGCAGACGGCAAUCUUACGCAGUGGUCGGAAGCCUGACGCAGCAACGCCGCGUGAGUGAUGAAGGUCUUCGGAUCGUAAAACUCUGUUAUUGGGGAAGAACAUAUGUGUAAGUAACCGUGCACAGAUUGACGGUACCUAGUCAGAAAGCCACGGCUAACUACGUG